rnacentral:rRNA from 1 species
GAUGAACGCUGGCGGCGUGCCUAAUACAUGCAAGUCGAGCGAACGGACGAGAAACUUGCUUCUCUGAUGUUAGCGGCGGACGGGUGAGUAAAACGUGGAUAACCUACCUAUAAGACUGGGAUAACUUCGGGAAACCGGAGCUAAUACCGGAUAAUAUUUUGAACCGCAUGGUUCAAAAGUGAAAGACGGUCUUGCUGUCACUUAUAGAUGGAUCCGCGCUGCAUUAGCUAGUUGGUAAGGUAACGGCUUACCAAGGCAACGCUGCAUAGCCGACCUGAGAGGGGGAUCGGCCACACUGGAACUGAGACACGGUCCAGACUCCUACGGGAGGCAGCAGUAGGGAAUUGUCCGCAAUGGGCGAAAGCCUGACGGAGAAACGCCGCGUGAGUGAUGAAGGUCUUCGGAUCGUAAAACUCUGUUAUUAGGGAAGAACAUAUGUGUAAGUAACUGUGCACAUCUUGACGGUACCUAAUCAGAAAGCCACGGCUAACUACGUG